rnacentral:sRNA from 1 species
GUUUUGUUCAGCACCAGCCGUUCGAAGGUGAUCCAGACUCAAGAUGGCUGUCCUCUCUAAGGAAUAUGGUUUUGUGCUUCUAACUGGUGCUGCCAGCUUUAUAAUGGUGGCCCACCUAGCCAUCAAUGUUUCCAAGGCCCGCAAGAAGUACAAAGUGGAGUAUCCUACCAUGUACAGCACGGACCCUGAAAAUGGGCACAUCUUCAACUGCAUUCAGCGAGCCCACCAGAACACGUGAGUGUCGGCCCUGCCGGGCACCAAAGACAUCUGCAGAGUGGGUGUUUUCUGUCUAACACCUCAGCCCUUAGUGCGCUGUAUUUGCUGAGUCACAGUGAUGGUGACCAUCAUGGGCACCUCAUUAAAAGUAUUCAAAAAUUAUGUAUGUGAACACAUGGACUAUUAAGCAAACUUGAGAGUGGCUGGAAUGGUGGGAUUUCGGGAUAUUCUUUUCAAAAAUGUCUUCAUGGUUGCAUUACCUACUACAGUUUUGCAGCAUGACCCAUCUAAACUGAUGUUGACCCUCCCAGGCCUAGGGAGUGAAGAGGUUUUGAAUGCUCUAAGGAAACCCACUCUGACUCACCAGGACCUUCCACUUCCAUUUGUUAGAUGCAAGGUCCUUUUACUCUUCAUGUUCCAAGUGACCUCUAAUCCCAUGCAGAGCAAAGGAGGGUGGAUGUUAGUGACCAGGUCUUCUCCCUGCAGUCAAUGUUUAUUUUUACCCCCAAGCUUCUAACUUGGCA